rnacentral:rRNA from 1 species
UAAUACGAAGGGGGCUAGCGUUGUUCGGAAUUACUGGGCGUAAAGCGCGCGCAGGCGGCCAAGCAAGUCAGAGGUGAAAGCCCGGAGCUCAACUCCGGAAUUGCCCCUGAGACUGCUGGGCUUCGAGUACGGGAGAGGUGAGUGGAAUUCCGAGUGUAGAGGUGAAAUUCGUAGAUAUUCGGAAGAACACCGGUGGCGAAGGCGGCUCACUGGCCCGUUACUGACGCUCAGGCGCGACAGCGUGGGGAGCAAACAGGAUUAGAUACCCUGGUAGUCCACGCCGUAAACUAUGGAUGCCAGCCGUUGGCAAGCAUGCUUGUCAGUGGCGCAGCUAACGCAUUAAGCAUCCCGCCUGGGGAGUACGGCCGCAAGGUUG